rnacentral:rRNA from 1 species
CGAAGGGUGCAAGCGUUACUCGGAAUUACUGGGCGUAAAGCGUGCGUAGGUGGUCGUUUAAGUCCGUUGUGAAAGCCCUGGGCUCAACCUGGGAACUGCAGUGGAUACUGGGCGACUAGAAUGUGGUAGAGGGUAGCGGAAUUCCUGGUGUAGCAGUGAAAUGCGUAGAGAUCAGGAGGAACAUCCAUGGCGAAGGCAGCUACCUGGACCAACAUUGACACUGAGGCACGAAAGCGUGGGGAGCAAACAGGAUU